rnacentral:rRNA from 1 species
AUUGAACGCUGGCGGCAGGCCUAACACAUGCAAGUCGAACGGUAACAGGAAGCAGCUUGCUGCUUUGCUGACGAGUGGCGGACGGGUGAGUAAUGUCUGGGAAACUGCCCGAUGGAGGGGGAUAACUACUGGAAACGGUAGCUAAUACCGCAUAACGUCGCAAGACCAAAGAGGGGGACCUUAGGGCCUCUUGCCAUCGGAUGUGCCCAGAUGGGAUUAGCUAGUAGGUGGGGUAACGGCUCACCUAGGCGACGAUCCCUAGCUGGUCUGAGAGGAUGACCAGCCACACUGGAACUGAGACACGGUCCAGACUCCUACGGGAGGCAGCAGUGGGGAAUAUUGCACAAUGGGCGCAAGCCUGAUGCAGCCAUGCCGCGUGUAUGAAGAAGGCCCUCGGGUUGUAAAGUACUUUCAGCGGGGAGGAAGGGAGUAAAGUUAAUACCUUUGCUCAUUGACGUUACCCGCAGAAGAAGCACCGGUUAACUCCGUG